CGUGUAGGCGGGAAGGAAAGUCAGAUGUGAAAUCCCCAGGCUCAACCUGGGAACUGCAUUUGAAACUCUCUUUCUUGAGUAUCGGAGAGGAAAGCGGAAUUCCUGGUGUAGAGGUGAAAUUCGUAGAUAUCAGGAGGAACACCAGCGGCGAAGGCGGCUUUCUGGACGGUAACUGACGCUGAGACGCGAAAGCGUGGGGAGCAAACA
rnacentral:rRNA from 1 species